CUUUUGAUGAGUGCCUUCCGAGUUCCCUGGAACGGGACGCCAUAGAGGGUGAGAGCCCCGUCUGGUUGGAUACCGAGUCUCUGUAAAGCUCCUUCGACGAGUCGAGUAGUUUGGGAAUGCUGCUCUAAAUGGGAGGUAUAUGUCUUCUAAAGCUAAAUACCGGCCAGAGACCGAUAGCGCACAAGUAGAGUGAUCGAAAGAUGAAAAGCACUUUGAAAAGAGGGUUAAACAGUACGUGAAAUUGUUGAAAGGGAAGCGUUCAUGACCAGACUUGGACCCGGCGAAUCAUCCAGCGUUCUCGCUGGUGCACUUUGCCGGGCUCAGGCCAGCAUCAGUUUGCCCCGGGGGAUAAAGGCUUUGGGAAUGUGGCUCCUCCGGGAGUGUUAUAGCCCGCUGCACAAUACUCUGGGGCGGACUGAGGUUCGCGCAUCUGCAUGGAUGCUGGCGUAAUGGUCAUCAGCGACCCGUCUUGAAACACGGACCAAGGAGUCGUCUUCGUAUGCGAGUGUUCGGGUGUCAAACCCCUACGCGUAAUGAAAGUGAACGCAGGUGAGAGCUUCGGCGCAUCAUCGACCGAUCCUGAUGUUCUCGGAUGGAUUUGAGUAAGAGCAUACCGGGCCGGACCCGAAAGAAGGUGAACUAUGCCUGUAUAGGGUGAAGCCAGAGGAAACUCUGGUGGAGGCUCGCAGCGGUUCUGACGUGCAAAUCGAUCGUCAAAUAUGGGCAU
rnacentral:rRNA from 1 species